UUAAACUAACUCUGUUUUAAUGUAAAUAAAAUCUUAUCAAAUGUUAUUAUUUUAAGCUAUCAUUUUAUUUUAAUAACAAAAAAUGUAUUAAACUUGGCAUAGCACAAAAACUCAAGUACUUCAGGAUAAAAGUUUUUUAAUGUUUCAUGUAUAUUUCUUAAAAUGACAAGUCUGUUUUAAAUUAAAAACGUAAAACAUAAUGAUAUAAAAAUUCACUUUAACAAGCUACAUGUGUUUCAUCAAAACGCUAUUAUAUUUAAAUGUUUGAACUAUUGCAAAAGAAAUUAAAUAACUAUAUAUAGUGUGGGAGCAAAAAUAAAUAAAUUGAGAAUGAAUUGAGGUUAGUUCGCAUAGGGGCAAGAUAAUGAGCGACAGAGAUAGAGUUGUGUAAGAGGGAGAGAUAAAAGAGAGGCAGCUAAACGAAUGAAUGAACGGACCUCGUAGCUCACAUGUGUUCGGCUUUACUUACUUAUUCAGUGUAUCGUCUGAUUCUACACGCAUCGCUGACACAUACCCUGUACGUUGUACGGAAUACGAAAGUAUCUUUCGAUGGGACAUUAUUCGCGUUGACUUUGUGCCCAUUUUCUUUAAUCAAUUUCAAGAAAGGCAAAUGUCUCCUCGAUAAUAAAUGCGGCUUUACGUCAAAAUUUUCAUUGUGUGCUGCGUUCAAACCACAACGUUUCUCACUUCGUUCAAAGGCAGCAGUUGGAUCGCGACAGGAAAUUUAAUUUAUAAAUUAUUAUCGAUGUUACUGGAACGA